CUCUUUUGUUCAGUAUGUGUAAC
rnacentral:piRNA from 1 species